AGGGUCGAUCCAUUUGGGAAAUGUUGUGUACUUCGGUAUGCAUCUCAAUUGGACCUGAUAUCAGGCAAGAUUACCCGCUGAACUUAAGCAUAUUAAUAAGCGGAGGAAAAGAAACUAACAAGGAUUCCCCUAGUAACGGCGAGUGAAGCGGGAAGAGCUCAAGCUUAAAAUCUCCGUGCAAGUUUUGCGCGGCGAAUUGUAGUCUAUAGAGGCGUGAUCAGUGUGGGCGCUUGGGGCAAGUUCCUUGGAAGAGGACAGCAUGGAGGGUGAUACUCCCGUUCAUCCCUGAGUUGCUCGUGCGUACGAUCCGUUUUCUUUGAGUCGCGUUGUUUGGGAAUGCAGCGCAAAGUAGGUGGUAAAUUCCAUCUAAAGCUAAAUAUUGGUGCGAGACCGAUAGCGAACAAGUACCGUGAGGGAAAGAUGAAAAGAACUUUGAAAAGAGAGUUAAAGAGUACCUGAAACUGCUGAAAGGGAACCGAAUCGUUUCCAGUGUCUAUAAUCCGUGGUAUAUUUCAUUGGCGAGUGUGUGCGUGCGUGUGCUGUGGCAGCGGCUUUUUUGGCUGCGCUCGGCGUGUGUGCUGUGUGUGCUUGCUGGUGCCCUGUGCUGCGGUGGG
rnacentral:rRNA from 1 species